CGGGGUAAGCCCGCAAGGCUAAAACUCAAAGGAAUUGACGGGGGCCCGCGACAAGCGGCGGAGCAUGCGGAUUAAUUCGAUGCAACGCGAAGAACCUUACCAAGGCUUGACAUGUUCUCGAUCGCCGUAGAGAUACGGUUUCCCCUUUGGGGUGGGUUUCACAGGUGGUGCAUGGUUGUCGUCAGCUCGUGUCGUGAGAUGUUGGGUUAAGUCCCGCAACGAGCGCAACCCUCGUUCCAUGUUGCCAGCACGUCGUGGUGGGGACUCAUGGGAGACUGCCGGGGUCAACUCGGAGGAAGGUGAGGACGACGUCAAAUCAUCAUGCCCCUUAUGUCUUGGGCUUCACGCAUGCUACAAUGGCCGGUACAAUGGGUUGCGAUACUGUGAGGUGGAGCUAAUCCCAAAAAGACCGGUCUCAGUUCGGAUUGGGGUCUGCAACUCGACCCCAUGAAGUCGGAGUCGCUAGUAAUCGCAGAUCAGCAACGCUGCGGUGAAUACGUUCCCGGGCCUUGUACACACCGCCC
rnacentral:rRNA from 1 species